GAGCUGUGAGGAUUUAGGUUUCUGCAAUGGUUGGGUCCAUUGAACACAUCUGAACUUUCGGAUGUUAUAUAAGCCUUGUACUGAGCUC